AUUGAACGCUAGCGGCAGGCCUCACACAUGCAAGUCGAACGAGUGGCGGACGGGUGAGUAAUGUAUGGGAAUCUGCCUGAUGGAGGGGGAUCACUACUGGACACGGUAGCUAAUACCGCAUACCAUCGGAUGUGCCCAAAUGGGAUUAGCUAGUAGGUGGGGUAACGGCUCACCUAGGCGACGAUCCCUAGCUGGUCUGAGAGGAUGACCAGCAACACUGGAACGGAGACACGGUCCAGACUCCUACGGGAGGCAGCAGUGGGGAAUAUUGCACAAGGGGCGCAAGCCUGAUGCAGCCAUGCCGCGUGUAUGAAGAAGGCCUUCGGGUUGGAAAGUACUUUCAGCGGGGAGGCGUUACCCGCAGAAGAAGCACCGGCUAACUCCGUGCCAGCCGCCGCGGUAAUUC
rnacentral:rRNA from 1 species